rnacentral:rRNA from 1 species
AUUGAACGCUGGCGGCAGGCCUAACACAUGCAAGUCGAGCGAGCGGCGGACGGGUGAGUAAUGUAUGUGGAUCUCCCUGAUGGAGGGGGAUAACUACUGGAAACGGUCGCUAAUACCGCAUACCAUCAGAUGCAUCCAUAGGGGAUUAUCUGGUAGUUGAGGUAACGGCUCACCUAGGAGACGAUCCCUAGCUGGUCUGACAGGAUGAGCAGCCACACUGGGACUGAGACACGGCCCAGACUCCUACGGGAGUCAGCAGUGGGGAAUAUUGCAGAAUGGGCGCAAGCCUGAUGCGGCCAUGCCGCGUGUAUGAAGAAGGCCUUCGGGUUGUAAAGUACUUUAAGUUGGGCGGCGUUACCAACAGAAUAAGCACCGGCUAACUUCGUGCCAGCAGCCGCGGUAAUAC